UUGUGUGCUCUGAUCAUAGCACCAGAGAGAGACCAAAGGGGCUUUUGGUAAGGUGAAGGAUUAGAAGAGAGCGUAAUAAUUUCUCAUAAAAGUACAAGAAAGCUGAUAUUAAAGACCUUGAAAGGAUAAACCUCAGCACGCUGUGCUUUUAUGUGUGCAAGUGAUGGAGAGACAGGUAUAGAGCUGGAAGAGGCGGGAAUCCAUGAGGCUGGCGCUUUGAUUAGAGGAAGGGCUGCUGGAGUCCAGUGAGAAAAUGUGUCCAGGCUAAUCAGCAGUGGCCAUCGCUGUAUAUGGUGAAGAUACGGCGGGAAGAGGAGCCAGUAGCUCCGGUCUCUUGGUGGUCCGUUGUUCUGAGUCUCCAUCCAGGAUCUCAGAGGAGGUUAACAAGUCAGCUCUAGGCUGCCAUCGACAGUCAAAUGGCAGGUCAAGCUGAAAGCUGUCUCAUCAGUGUGGCCUGGUGUCAGCAGCAGGCAUCGCCUCUGGCCGCAGGUGCUUCCCCAUAUGUCUGCCUGGUGCCGGCUCCUCCCACUUGGCUUCCGACUCCGCCGUCUCUGUGGGUUGGGCAGCAAGGAUGGAGAAUCAUGUCCCAGUGGGUAAGAUGCUAGCAGCGAGGGCAGCGACAACCCAGCCCUGGGAAGACGCGCCCACUCUCAGCACGGCAGGCGGGGCGGCCCGGGGUCCUGCGCCCGUCUCUUCCUUGGGCGUCCCCUGAAGUGAAGUGUGGAGCAAACUCUGUCUCUGUUUCUGCAGUUAUGAAGCAGUCUUUGACUUACACCCCAGUCCUGUGGUGGCAUUUUUCCUACCAAGGUAGUAUCGCUUUGGAGACAUCAAUUGAGUACAUCAUUUUUUCUGAAAUUUUGAGUUUGGGAGAGAACUAUACUCUUAUUUGCUAAUGGAACAGGGGAGGGUGAACUGAAAGGAUCAGAAGAAACUCUGAUGCCCUACAGUCAAAAGAGAAAGUGGGUUUAGUACCAUUAGGGGCACAGACAGUUCAUUUUGGAGACUUCCGCAGGAAACAAAUUGCUGGUCUACAAUUCCAAGAUCCUUCAAUCGUGUCAAAAUAUAUCCUGCUUAUCUGUAGUAGGGUUCAUUGGUGCACUUACCACUUUCCUGGUUAGCCGUUUGGGGAGAAAAUGAAAGCAGUACGGAUGUAAAAACUUAGAACAUUCAUCAGCUGAAAACUGCUCAUCAGAAGCAUUGUUGUGCUAAUGAUACUGUUGAAAUGGACUUGCCUGCCAAAAACGGAUUAUCUUCCUCUGAACCAGGGAGGCCCACUCCUUUGACGAGAAAGCUUCAGCAGAGCAAUGUGGUGGAACCCUGGUGGUGUGCCCCACUCUCACUGGCUGUCAUCUUAAGCCCUUUCCGUUUCAUCUGUUCAACCAGGUUGUGUCAAGUUCAAGAGGAAUUUAUUUCUGUUUUCCCUCACACCUAAAAGAUAUGAUUAUAAUUCAUCAUGAAAUAUCAGUGUGUACUUGAUUAAUAGGAAACAGAGCUCACAUUGUUUUUGGUUGCGCUGGUUUUCGUGUGUUCCGUGCCUUAUUAAUAUUUUAAAGUAACUUUUCCCUGCCGUAUGAUAGUAGUCUAUGUUUGUUGAUUUGGAAAAUAAAAUGGAAGAUUAGAGAAGUACAAAGCAACGCAUGAUAUCUUCUCUGGGCUUCCCAGGUGGCGCUAGGGGUAAGAACCCGCCUGUCAGUGCAGGAGGCUCGUUGCUCCUGGGUUGGGAGCUCCCCUGGAGGAGGGCACGGCAACACACUCCAGUGUUCCUUCCUGGAGGAUCCCGUGGACGGGGGACCUAGUGGGCUGCAGCCUGCGGAGUGGCAG
ensembl:lncRNA